rnacentral:tRNA from 1 species
CUUAUUGGCAGAUCAAUGCAUUAGAAUUAGAAUCUAAUCAAUC